rnacentral:rRNA from 1 species
UAGUCCACGCCGUAAACGAUGGUUACUAGCUGUUCGGAACUUGUUCUGAGUGGCUAAGCGAAAGUGAUAAGUAACCCACCUGGGGAGUACGUUCGCAAGAAUGAAACUCAAAGGAAUUGACGGGGGCCCGCACAAGCGGUGGAGCAUGUGGUUUAAUUCGAUGAUACGCGAGGAACCUUACCAGGGCUUAAAUGUAGUGCGACAGGGAUGGAAACAUCUUUUCCUUCGGGCGCAUUACAAGGUGCUGCAUGGUUGUCGUCAGCUCGUGCCGUGAGGUGUCAGGUUAAGUCCUAUAACGAGCGCAACCCCUGUUGUUAGUUGCCAGCGAGUCAAGUCGGGAACUCUAACAAGACUGCCAGUGCAAACUGUGAGGAAGGUGGGGAUGACGUCAAAUCAUCACGGCCCUUACGUCCUGGGCUACACACGUGCUACAAUGGCCGGUACAGAGGGCAGCCACUACGCGAGUAGGAGCGAAUCCUUAAAACCGGUCUCAGUUCGGAUCGGAGUCUGCAACUCGA